rnacentral:rRNA from 1 species
AACGAACGCUGGCGGCAUGCCUAACACAUGCAAGUCGAACGAGACCUUCGGGUCUAGUGGCGCACGGGUGCGUAACGCGUGGGAACCUUCCCUUAGGUUCGGAAUAACUCUCCGAAAGGGGUGCCAAUACCGGAUAAUGUCUUCGGACCAAAGAUUUAUCGCCCUUGUAUGGGCCCGCGUUGGAUUAGCUAGUUGGUAGGGUAAAAGCCUACCAAGGCGACAAUGCAUAGCUGGUAUGAGAGGAUGAUCAGCCACACUGGGAGUGAGACACGGCCGAGACUCCUACGGGAGGCAGCAGUGGGGAAUAUUGGAAAAUGGGCGAAGGCCUGAUCCAGCAAUGCCGCGUGAGUGAUGAAGGCCUUAGGGUUGUAAAGCUCUUUUACCCGGGAUGAUAAUGACAGUACCGGGAGAAUAAGCUCCGGCUAACUCCGUG